rnacentral:rRNA from 1 species
GACGAACGCUGGCGGCGUGCUUAACACAUGCAAGUCGAACGGAAAGGCCCUGCUUGCAUGGUACUCGAGUGGCGAACGGGUGAGUAACACGUGGGUGAUCUGCCCUUCACUUCGUGAUAAGCCUGGGAAACUCUGUCUAAUACCGGAUAGGAGCCCUUCUUAGUGUGGUGGGUGGAAAGUUUUUUCGGUGUAGGAUGAGCUCGCGGCCUAUCAGCUUGUUUGUUGGGUAAUGGCUUACCAAGGAUGCGACGGGUAGCCGGCCUGGGAGGGUGGACGGCCACAUUGGGACUGAGAUACGGCCCAGACUCCUACGGGAGGCAACAGUGGGGAAUAUUGCACAAUGGGCGCAAGCCUGAUGCAGCGACGCCGCGUGGGGGAUGACCGCCUUUGGGUUGGAAACCCGUUUCCCUAUGGACGAAGCUUUUUGUGACGGUACCUGGAUAAGAAGCACCGGCUAACUACGUG